UGACAGGAAACAUUACACUUGCUGACUGGUA
rnacentral:piRNA from 1 species